rnacentral:rRNA from 1 species
GACGGCCGUACCAUGCUGAAUAUACCGGUUCUCGUUAGAUCACCGAAGUUAAGCAUCAUUGGGCGCGGUCAGUACUUGGGUGGGUGACCACCUGGGAACACUGCGUGCCGUU